rnacentral:tRNA from 1 species
GGGUAUAAUAUAGUGGUAUGAUUCUUGCUUUGGGUGCGAGAGAUUGUGAGUUCAAUUCUCACAACACCCU